AUGGUUUUAACAGGGGCAGCUUUUCAUCAUAAAUAUUGGAAUUACAUGUACACUACAGCGAUGCCUGGUGACAUAAAGAAUGGGUCGAUGAGCACAUGAAUUGCGAGGACAUCGCAAUGAAUUUUCUGGUAGCGAAUAUUACUGGAAAAGCCCCGUUAAAGGUGACACCAAAGAAGAAAUUCCGA